CAUGGCUGGAGGGGCGCAGGGCUCCGUCUUCACAGAGGAAUCCCCGGCCCGGCCCAGGGGGGUUGCUCCUCCUCACCGGCUGUCUUCAGAACCCCUGGUUCUCUUCUCUCACACAUGUGCCAGGCUGUGGACAAAUUCGGGCUCAUGUCCACAUCUGUUGGCUGGACAUGGUGUCAGCAGGCAAGGCCUGGGGUCGCUGAGGGGGCUGCAGAGUGGCCAGGAAGGUCAUGGAAGGAUCCAGGAGAGAGUGCUGUGGGCGCCUGUGAAUGAGAAGGCCCAGGACACGGAGGCGGCCAUCAGACUGUUCGUAAAUAAAUGGAAACCCGAUCUCCAAAGCUAACCUCGCUUCUUACAGUGUCUAAACCUCACAAACAUCCUGCCGUUUGAGUCUGCAAUGAGCUGCCAACACGAGCCCCUGGUGUUGCUCACCACAAGUGAACCUGAGCAGUGCCCCAUGGGCUGGUUUCAGGAGCUCAGCUGCAGCCCGAGGGCCCAGGGUCACCUGCAUCCUCUGCGGUUUGCGUUGGUCUGGGAGCUGGCGGGGCCGGAGGGGAAAGCCCAGGGGUAUGGGGAAGUGGCUGCAGCCCUCGACCGCUCCUCCGAGUCAUGUCUCAGUGCAAUCAGACCUGGGCCUGGGAGCUUAGCUCCAACACGAUUUACAAUUCAAUUGUGAAAUGGGAUAAAAAUUAGACAUCCCCCUUCGGGCAUCUCAAUUUUCUUUGUUAAAG
rnacentral:lncRNA from 1 species